UUCCCUAGUCACUACCUCACUCAAGCCCGCCUCAGCUCCUACAAACCCCACCCCAGUCUCUAUAAAGGACACUCCCUGCCCCAGUCAUAUUGCCUUUGUCUCUCCUUUGUUCAGAGACACCCCAGCAGAUUGUUCCUACAAUAAAGGCUUGUUGUGGCCUGGUCUGGUCUUGGUUUUUGGCCUUUUUACCUGACAUAUCUGAUGCCGUGACUCGGAUGGUAGACAGUCCAUUGAGAGACGAUACCCCAUGGGACGGGGUUGAUUGGCCUUUUGGCCAUCUCCACCGGACCAUAUCUGCCAAGCCAGGACCCUCUUGGGGCUUUCUGCCUUUGCCAUUGCUGAUGCUACUCAUCCACACCGGUCACCAGUCUCUGGGAACGAAUGAGGACACCAACACUCAUUCCAACCAACCCUCAUUCACCAACCAGACAGUCACGGAGCUCAUCAUGGCAGGGUACCAGCCAGUACGACAAAAGGAAGAGGUCCCCACUUGCCAUGGGCCUCAUCAGAUCCAGGUCUAGCCCCAAUCUUCGCCCCUUGUCAGCAGGAAGCAACUCCAGAAAAAGAGACCUUCGCCCAACUAUCAUAAAACAAAAGCCUGGAAUGAUAGGUCUCCCAUUACCUCAGCAGCUAUUAUGUAUAGUAGCUGCCCUCUUCCUAUUGUGCCUUGCCUCCUCCCCUGUGUAACAUCACACCAAGAUGGAUGCUCCCACCAAAGAACAAACUUUUCUUCCCAGCAUGCCCGUUCCUGCCUAGAGAGUAACAUAAUACUCGAUCACCACCUACCAACUAGUGAUGUCCGAGGCUCCUCCAUUUCCUAGUCACUACUUCACUCAACCCUGCCUCAGCUCCUACAAACCCCACACCAGUCUCUAUAAAAGACACUCCCUGCCUCAGCCAUAUUGCCUUGUCUCUCCUUUGUUCAGAGAAACCCUGGCAGAUCUGUUCGCCUAACAAAGGCUUGUUGUGGCCUGGUCUGGUCUUGGUUUUCGGCCUUUUUACCUGACAAUGAAUAGCCCUGUAUCUAUUAAAUUUAAUUUGUAGUGAAAAAUCUCAUAAAGAAAACUUCAGGCCCAGGUGGCUUCACUGAGAUACAAAUUCUUCCAAAAUAAGAAUGAGGCAGGAAAUUCCCAGUAUGGGGAAAAAAACAAAAAUUAGGCAGGAAGGUAGGGCAUGGCAAACCCGGUUUGGGAAGUAACCCUGACCAGAUUCCAGGAUACACCUCACAAAAUAAAUCUCAGGAGGGGCCAGGGAUUUAGCUCAGUGGUUCUGCAACCUGCCUCACAAGUGCAAGGAUCCGAGUUCGAUUCCCGGGACCAAAAAACAAAAAGAAAUAAAUCUCAGGACCUGAUACAUUUAAAUUCUUGCAGGUUCCCUCAAGCCAUGGAUGAGAUAAAGAAAUAGGAAACUGCUAUGAGCUCAUUAUUGUGCCUCUUCAUGAUAACCCGCCCUUUGUCCCCCAGGGUGUACUUUCAUUUUUGCUUUUAAUUUUUCCUGUUUUGUUUGGCCCAAGUUUCCUCUGCAGAGCCAGUUGCUCCCUUACCCUUACCCUCCACUCUCACUUUUUCAAAUGAAAUUUGGCACUGUUUUUUGCUUGUCUUGUUCAAUUCUUUCUUCAAGACAAGAAGAACCUGGUAACAUUCAAAUGAGAUUUCCACAGUCUGAUAACGGACAUUGCAAAAAACCUAUAGCUAACAUUGUUCUUAAGGAUGAGUGGUUCGAGUCGUGUCACUCCAAUUCAGCAUUUACUAUAGGUACUAACUCAUGCAGUAAGACAAGUGUAAAUGAAACAAACAAAGCAAUGAGAAUGAAAAAGAACAACAUUGUCUCUAUCUAGAUAACAAAAUCUUUUAUGGAGAAAAUCCUAAAUAUGCAAAAGGUACCAGACCUAAUUGAGUUUAAAAAGUCAAUUAUAU